GAUCCUGGCUCAGGAUGAACGCUGGCGGCGUGCUUAACACAUGCAAGUCGAGCGAAGCACUUUACUUGGAUUUCUUCGGAAUGACGAGUGCUGUGACUGAGCGGCGGACGGGUGAGGUAACGCGUGGGUAACCUGCCUCAUACAGGGGGAUAACAGUUAGAAAUGACUGAUAAUACCGCAUAAGACCACAGCACCGCAUGGUGCAGGGGUAAAAACUCCGGUGGUAUGAGAUGGACCCG
rnacentral:rRNA from 1 species